AUGCUGUACCCCCUGCCACUCCUGGUCCGUCCAGCUAGAAUACCAUAUAUCACCUGGAAAGUCAAAGGUGUGCCUGAUCCUCCACAGGAUUCUAUGAGCCUUGAUAAAUGUGCCUGCCAUUGGCAAAGGCAGAUAAAGAAGGAAAAUCUAUCGGUGACACAUGUAACCGGUUCAUACUCAUGCCUCUAUGUGUGUGUAUGUGUGCAUUUGCACGUGUGUAUGCAUGCACUUGUGUGUGCAUGCAUGCACAUUUGUCUUUUCUACCCAGUACAUCAUUUCAGGAACUGUUGCCAUAAUCACGGAGAAAAAGCGUCGACGUUCUCUGGCAAAGAUCACCGUGGGGCUGAACAUCAUUGGCAUCAUCUAUGCCAUCUAUGGGCUGAUCACUCUGGUCAUUGAGUUUCUCAGUUAUGACUCUAUGUCUAUGCAACAAAGUUGGCCUGAGGUAAGUAAGCUGGUUCACUGGGCAGGCCUCCAUUUCUGAAGGUGUGUUUGAAGAUGGAGAGGGUCUGGCAGGUGGCCAUCUAGGCUAGGCUACCCAACCAGGGGGAUUUCCUCUGGCUAGUUAAUUGAGUUUCUGGGCUUUCCUCCUUCCUAAGGAUUCAGGUCCAUUUGAGGCUCCCUCCUGGGAGGAAUAAUGACAAGGAAGGUAGAAAUGUUGUGGCCCUCGAUGGACAGCGGGCCACAGGACCUCUGAGUUCUUCCUGCCCAUUGGGAACUCGAACCCAUUACUCCUAGGUCUGUCCUGGAGGUCCCUCUUGCAUGGGGUAGCCCUGGAUGCAGCUAUCCUGCUCCCCCCUCCCCCUGAACCCUGAGUCUUUUCUGCUCCAAGAUAAACAUCCCUGGUUCCUUCUGUGGAUCUCCAUAUGGUACAACCUCCAGAGCCUUCACAGUCCUGGUGAUGGUGACUUUCUCCAACUGAUCAAAAUCCUUCCACAAAUGGGGUGCCCAGGACUGAACCUCAUACUCCACUGUGGUCUGGUGAGGUCAGAGGGCAGUGGGCUUGUCCCCUUCAUGGUCAGUCUAUCCAACAAGCAUGGCUGCGCUUGGUGCUGAAGACCAAGCCCCGACUGCCAUGCUCCUCCUCUCCUGGUGCCUCCACCCUAUCAGGGCAGACGCCACGUCCACAUCUCUGCGUGUGGAGAAUACGUGUACGGGAGUUAAGGGGGGGGAGGAUGGGGAAGUACCCACGUAGAAGCGCUGCUUGAGGAGUCCUGGCCUAUUCUCUCUACAGAAACCAGAGACUGCAUUCCUUUUCACAAAUGCCAUCCCCACAUGCCUGACUCCUAGUAUGCUUAGGGUCCGUUAGGACCCCAGGUCUUUUUUCAAACAACCGCCUCCUGUGAAGUUGGUUGCUUGCACCCAAGUCCAAAAUUCCCACAUUCAUCCCUCCUUCCAA
rnacentral:lncRNA from 1 species